ACCUGGGUGGCUCAGUCGGUUAAGCGGCUGACUUCAGCUCAGGUCAUGAUCUCGCGGUCCGUGGGUUCGAGCCCCACAUCAGGCU
rnacentral:tRNA from 1 species